UACGAGGGGUGCAAGCGUUGCUCGGAAUUAUUGGGCGUAAAGGGCAGGUAGGUGGUCUCAUUUGUCAGGGGUGAAAGCCUUGGGCUUAACCCAAGAAGUGCCUUUGAAACGGUGAGACUGGAGUCUUGGAGAGGGUCGUGGAAUUCCCAGUGUAGCGGUGAAAUGCGUAGAGAUUGGGAGGAACACCGGUGGCGAAGGCG
rnacentral:rRNA from 1 species